CUUUGAAUUCUUUCUUAUUUCGUUUUGCAGUUCUGCAUGCUGCCAUUGGGGGUAGUUUUCUGUAAAAAAGAUAGUCUCUUACUCAAGAAAUUGGAUCUUGAUAACCAAUUUCUUUUACCAGGCCUUUCCAUUAGUAUGCUUCUCCGCCCUUCUGCAUAGUUUUAAUGGUAAGUCACCCUUGACUUCUUUCCUUUGAUGCUUUUAGUAAUUUUCUAAACUAUUUACACUCUUUUAAUUGAAAUUAUGCGGAGGUAGUGUUGUCCGAGUCCAAGCCAAAAGCAAACAUAGUUGAUCUCUGUGAAAACUUUAUCAAAGAGCAAACUGGAAAUAUGUACAAGAAUGUGAAGAAGAAUAUUGAGGCAGGUGUUGCGUUUCUAACAUGUAUUUCAGUUAACAACACCCUGUGCCAUUUCUCUUCGCUGUCUAGAGAUGAGACUUCACUUGAAGAUAAAUUGAAGUUGAUAUGGGAUGUCACUUUGAUGGAUUUGUUGAAGUAGUUGGACAUACACGCGUUCUUCCCGAAGGACCAGUUACUGGUGGAGCUGCUGAUGUCAUUGCAGCUGCUAGUACAACCGCUGAAAUUGUUUUGACGCUUGUGAAACCACAAAAGAAGGUAAAGUUAUUCAAGAUCUUUGUUUAUUCGGAUGCACUAACUAAUUACUACAUGUUAUUUUAGUGAUUUUUCUUACGAAUUAAAGCAUGUCAAUUGCUAAAUCGAUAAAAAAGAAAAGUUUUAAUAAAUGCUAAAAGUUAGCUCAUUGAUUAACCUGACGUUCAUGCUGGUUACUGCAAUUUCUCCCUCUUCACCUAGAGGACUAAAGAUGCCUGUGAGCAUACAAUAGUUGUUCCUUUAUUUCGUUCAAUUUUAUGAAUAAGCUGCUGUCAUGGAAAAGAAAUUAUACUGUAUUUUGAUAUUGUAAUUAAGUACUUCUUUGUUCAUUCGCUAAUUUGUGUACAUUGAUUAUACUGUAUACUAUAAUAGCCACCCUAUGUGGUAGUGAUUCCAG